CACGUAGGGCGCGAGCGUUGUCCGGAAUUAUUGGGCGUAAAGAGCUCGUAGGCGGCCUGUUGCGUCCGCUGUGAAAGCCCGGGGCUUAACCCCGGGUCUGCAGUGGAUACGGGCAGGCUAGAGGUAGGUAGGGGAGAAUGGAAUUCCCGGUGUAGCGGUGAAAUGCGCAGAUAUCGGGAGGAACACCGGUGGCGAAGGCGGUUCUCUGGGCCUUAACUGACGCUGAGGAGCGAAAGCGUGGGGAGCGAACAGG
rnacentral:rRNA from 1 species